GGAGGCCUCCAACAACGUCACCAACUGGUCCGGCACCGUCUUCCUCACGCCGCUCCUCGGCGCCUACGUCGCCGACGCCUACCUCGGACGCUACUGGACCUUCGUCAUCGGCUCCGCCAUCUACUUCCUGGUACGUACCUGUCGUCGUUGCUCCUAUCCCUAGCUAGCUUAGCUAGCAGUAAAUACAUAACUCUCACCCCCUCUAGCUGAUCAUCAGCUGUUGCUCCUGUCGUCGUCCUUGCUUGCGUUACCAAAAAAAACUUGCGCUAAUCGGUCGAGCAAAUUGAGCAUACCAUGUGCUGAAAACUGAAAGAAACUAACCGAGGGUGCCGCGCGUGUUCGAUUUGGAGUCCUUGGCCAUGGCCAUGGCUUGGUUUGCCGACGUUUGGUUGGUUUGGUUUGGUUGUCUUGCUUGCUAGUUGCUACCUCGUUUUCCGCGCUUUACAGGAUUCCUCUCGCCAGCAAGAAUGAGCCAAAAAAAGCUCUAUCCCAUCCCAUGCUGGCAAGGCUCAUCUUGCCGAGAGCGAGCGAGCGAGCUGGACCGACACACGUACCAAAAAGCGUCCACAGAGUUUUGACUGAUGAUACAAGAGCAGAAUGGCUCCACCACGGGCACAAUACGCGUGCCUUGCCUGCUCAUACGUGGUCCGACUCAACAAAAUGGAACUGUGAAACUGUUUCUCUUUUUUUUUCAGAAAAUUAAAAAGAUAGAAGAACAAUACAGUAUAGCACAGGCGCUUAAGACAAAUUUCAUAGGAAGAGCUGCGGUCUGCCUAAAUUUCAUAUGAUUGCAAUUGCAAGCAGGCAGUACUGACUCAAGUCCCCGCCAAAAUGGAACUAUGCAAGUAGAAAAUGUUGCAACUUGCAAGAGAAGGUGAGGUGAGGCCAUCGUACUCAUCUAGGCUGCCUGUAUUCUUCAGUAGUUCAAUGCAAUAACCAAAAAUAGAGCAUCCACAGAUGGAUCGACGACGAAUCUAUCAGAUUUCUAACAAUAUUUUUUUCUCAUGACAAAAUAAGAAAUAUUUCAGCUAUGGCUUCGAGCCAAGAGACUCGAUAUCUCCAAUCCCUCCCUCUUGUCCCCUCGUCCAACGGCCGGCCGGCUCCUAGUACUACUAGGAUAGGAACAAUACGCACGACGUCAUAGCGCCGUAUACACGAUGCUAUCCUCUUCCUUCUUCCUGUGACUUGGCUGGAUGCCACAGAUUCAGUUCAACCAGGCACCUCCGUCAUGCUGCAGGUCCCAACCUGAUGAGGCUUGGACCGACGUAUGGUCGUCACUCGUCAGGUCGCAAACCGGACCCUUGUAGGGCCUUGUUUACUUCCAUCCAAAACGUAUUUUUUUUUAAAUUCUCCGUUACAUUUGAAUCUUUAGAUGCCCGUGGCCAAAGCAACUAUCCGUUGAACCUUUUUGAUUCGUUGCAUGAUUGCAAAUCGCGUGCAUGACCAACCUAGCCUAGCGUGCGACUAGAUUCUGACACAUGAUAGCUCUGGCCACAGUGCCACACAUCCAUUUCAUGGUAAGCUCAGUGAUAACGCACCACACUGUAGUAAACUUAUCUCUGAUUCCACAGUGAUUAGCACUGUACACGAAAGGGUUUAAGACAUAGCGAGCAUUGCUGAGUAGUGUAAUGUAAGCAGGACAUUUCUAUGGGUGUUGUGUGUCGUCCUGCUUUUCAGCUACAGUACUGUGAGGUUCAGUGAAGCGGUAGGGGCUUCGCUUUGCUUGGACGCUGCCUGGCCGGGCUAAACCGGUGUCAGUACGACAGUGCAACUGCAACUGCAACCAUCGUGCGGUACUAGGUGCACGUGUGAAGUGUUCAGAUGUUCAUGUCACCACAGUCGAUGCACGAGCGACCGUGGGCGGGCCGGUCGGCCCGUGCGACAAUUUUACGACGAGUCAGUAUUAUUCUUUUCAUAACAAAUAAGUAUUAACAUCAAUUACUUUUAUGCCUAGCCGAACAGGGAGUAGUCGCAGCUAGCAUUGGUAUUGUCAGUCAUUUGGAAUUUUUGAAGUCUGUAUUACAGUAAGAUUUUUGUUUCUCUUUCUUUUUUAAUAUGCAAGAGAGCUACGUAUCUUUGUAUUAUAGGAGAGAGUCUGUAUUUAGACGGACGGAUCAGUACAGUUCAAUCCGCGAGGGCACCAUCACAAAAAAAGACACUGCGUCUUGUAGCCUACUCGAGAGGGAGGUUACAGAUAGCUAUCAACUUAAGUCCAACCUAGAUUCCCUUCGGGUUGAACCAUUGGGUUAGCAAUGAAUUCAUGACAAGGACCGCCUUUCUCUCAAAUCUUGUUACGAGUAGGUCUGUGGCCCAAGCUGAGCUUUUCUUCAAAAUUUAGGUAGUUUGGAACGAUGACACCUUCACUUUCUAGUUUUCUUAUGACGUACCGAUUAAUCAUUUGUAGGCCAAUCUUGUAAUUAUCUUUUCCACUUAGAUGGGCCUUGUUUAGCAACCUCAUGAGUCAUGCCGUCCUCACCGGAAUCUGACAAUUCCACAUAUAUAAUACUUCAACAAGCAAGCAAACUACAAAUCGCGUCAUCAACAAUGUUGUCUCAUGCAUCUUCCACAAUUUUACUUGUAAAUAUAUUUUGACAUGAAAUGUUAAGCUAAAGUUCUGGAACAAUCACCAUCUAAUACAGGGGAUGGUGUUGCUGGUGCUGUCCGUCUCCCUGCCGGCGCUGAAACCGCCGCCGUGCGACGCCGCCAAAGUGUGCCCGAAGGCCUCGGCGCUGCAGGUCGGUGUCUACUUCGGAGGUCUCUACAUCGUAGCCUUCGGCAACGGCGGCACCAAGCCCAACAUCUCCACCAUCGGGGCGGACCAGUUCGACGAGUUCGACCCGCGGGAGAAGAUGCACAAGCUCUCCUUCUUCAACUGGUGGAUGUUCACCAUCUUCCUGGGCAUCCUCUUCUCCUCCAGCG
rnacentral:lncRNA from 1 species